ACUUAUGGCCAUGCCACCCUGAACAAGCCCAAUCCCAUCUGAUCUUGGAAGCUAAGCAGGGUACGGCCUGGUUAGUACUUGGAUGGGAGACCACCUAGGAAGACCAGGUGCUAUAGGUG
rnacentral:rRNA from 1 species